rfam:Equus caballus chromosome 10, whole genome shotgun sequence.
UCCGUAUUUUAAAGAAAUAGCUUUCUAAUGUCUUUAUGCAGUUUUUCAGUAGCACAAGAUAGAUU